CCUACGGGUGGCUGCAGUCGAGAAUCUUCCGCAAUGGGCGAAAGCCUGACGGAGCGACACCGCGUGAUGGAUGAAGUGCUUCGGUAUGUAAACAUCUUUUAUGAGGGAAGAAGUAUAUUGACGGUACCUCAUGAAUAAGGACCUGCCAAACUCGUGCCAGCAGCAGCGGUAAUACGAGUGGUCCAAGCGUUAUCCGGAAUUAUUGGGCGUAAAGAGUGCGUAGGUGGAUUUGUUAGUCUGGUGUUUAACCCAUGGGCUCAACCUGUGGAUUGCAUUGGAAACGUCAAAUCUUGAGGAUGUGAGGGGUGAGUGGAACUCUAUGUGUAGGGGUGAAAUCCGUUGAUAUAUAGGGGAACACCAAAAGCGAAGGCAACUCACUGGCACAUUCCUGACACUGAGGCACGAAAGCGUGGGUAGCGAAUGGGAUUAGAUACCCCUGUAGUC
rnacentral:rRNA from 1 species